CACUUUUUGCCCAUAUUUCCUCCAUUGAUAUCCAUCCUUCACAAUCUGAAAACGCAGCACAAAAAGGAAUAAGAUUUCCUGUUAGACAAUUACACCUAAUCAAGCGAUGACAAGUUCAAGAAAAAUCCUUAAACAGAUCCUGCUGAUACAAUCCGCCAAUUAUAUGAGAUGAAAGAAGGGAGUUUUAAUUACCAGGCUAGUAUCAGAUGAUUCUGUCCUGACAUAAGCUUUGGAAACUUUUGCUUUGUUGGUGCCUUCCUUAGGUUUCUUGCAUGAUUCUUCAUCAGUUGAGCAGCUCUCCGCGGUGC